rnacentral:rRNA from 1 species
GAUGAACGCUGGCGGCGUGCCUAAUACAUGCAAGUCGAGCGAAUGGAUUAAGAGCUUGCUCUUAUGAAGUUAGCGGCGGACGGGUGAGUAACACGUGGGUAACCUGCCCAUAAGACUGGGAUAACUCCGGGAAACCGGGGCUAAUACCGGAUAACAUUUUGAACCGCAUGGUUCGAAAUUGAAAGGCGGCUUCGGCUGUCACUUAUGGAUGGACCCGGGUCGCAUUAGCUAGUUGGUGAGGUAACGACUCACCAAGGCGACGAUGCGUAGCCGACCUGAGAAGGUGAUCGACCACACUGGGACUGAGACACGGCCCAGACUCCUACGGGAGGCAGCAGUAGGGAAUCUUCCGCAAUGGACGAAAGUCUGACGGAGCAACGCCGCGUGAGUGAUGAAGGCUUUCGGGCCGUAAAACUCUGUUGUUAGGGAAGAACAAGUGCUAGUUGAAUAAGCUGGCACCUUGACGGUACCUAACCAGAAAGCCACGGCUAACUACGUGCCAGCCGCCGCGGUAA